GAGCUCUGAAUAUGAACAACCAAAUGAAGCAUUACGAUUUCGCUCGAUGCGUAAAUAUCUCGGGAGUGAUAUUUUUUUCAAUGGUGAUAAAUUUUAUUCAAUCGGGCGGAUUGGAUCCAUGAAAGAUCAGUGACAUAUAAAUUACUAUCUAGGAAUUCAUAUCAAGGACGACUAUUACUAUCAAUAGAUGCACUAAGUUUCUUGGGAGAGCAACAACAUUGGGAAGAAAUUCCGUGUAUCUGUUUGCAAUAUGGAGUAAGACCUUUGCAGCUACGCUUGCACAAGUCCAGGUCGCAUCUCGCGAAAGGCAUGAAGCACCACCCUCCUUCUACAUGCUCACAAAAACAAUAUCGUUUAGAAGAAUACCCAGACAACACCAUAGCAAGCUAUGCUUCAGCAUCAACCAGAUGCAAUAAGAUCCAUAGAACGCCACAUUGUGAAAUACUCCCUCCAUCCCAUAAUAUAAGAACGCUUUUAACACUACACUUGUGUUAAAAGCGUUCUUAUAUUAUGGGACAGAGGGAGUACAAAGAAAAAUAGCAUCGCAUAGCAAACCAUGUUGACUUAUAGUUAAGUCAGAGAUGCAUGUACCUGGGCCAAAUGCAUCACAAGAUGAAAUGACAGUAGCCACGAGCACAAGAGCCAACAAGAACCGGGCACUUGUGUUCUUGAAUAUUUCCAUGAGGUCCUUUUUUUCCUUCUCUAUCUUAUGUUGUUCU
rnacentral:lncRNA from 1 species